UUUCGACUUACUUGCCUCAUUCUCACUCAGAGAGUGACCAGCUCUGCCACCCCCACACAUCUCUCCUGUUUCACUUUGUUUCCCUCUGCCUGCUCAUUAAUCAACCAACAACCAACCAACCAACCACCCGCCCAGCCGUGUAAUGAUUUUGGUGUAUCUUUGUUUCAGCUUCUUUUACAUUUCAGCUCACUAUCCACUGCUAAGAACUACAAAGACAUGGCUAAGAAGACAAAGACAGCUUAAUGUCCUUUGAAGAUUGUUUUUAAUUAAAAGUUUUCCCUUGCUUGUAGUAAGACUUAGCUUAAAACACAAGCUAAGACACAACACAAGCAAUGCUGUAGAUGAAAGGAAUUUUCAGGCCCGUCAUACUCCACGAGACCACUGUCAUGGUCUGUCAUUGGCUUCAGUUAUUCCUCCUGCAGUGCAUGACUGAAUCCUUCACUCUGGUGAGUUAUUUCUAGGACUCUGGAAGCUCAAAGGAAAAGUCUGUGGUCAUCUGCCUUCAUUAUCCACCUCUGGGUUCUGCCUCCCACUAUUUGCCUGCUGUCUUUUCUGUCCAGAAGCUUUUUUGCUGCCAGUCCCCAGUAACUCACAUAUCUAAUGAUGCACGCCAACCUAACAGCCUGAUAAGCUCAAGUGACUCAGCAGCUAAUCCAAUAGUAAGUGCAUGUGUUUGUGCAGAGAAGUGGAUCUUGUCAUUGCCAUCUGAGAUUUCAAAUAAUGGAUGUUAUGGCCUUGUUUCUGCUUCUCUGUGUCUCACCUCCAGCUGGUCACUUUGUCUUACUUUCUUUAAUGGUUCAGAAGAGUCAAAUGACCCCAGAUGUAGGUGUCUGAACUGCUGUGCUAUAUGACAUGGUGGUUCUCCAGUGGAUGCCAGAGCAGGUGUAUCUCUUUGUAGGAGUGAGAGAUAGAUUCCUGCAGAGUCUGUCCAAUCACAGGUGUGGAUAUGAAUUUGUCAUUUUAGUCCAAUGUCUGGAGACUAAUCUACCUCAUGCCAAGAGAAAAUGAUAAGAGGGGAGGCUACAAGAAAAAAGGGUUUUCCAAGGGCCAGGGGUUUAGCUCAGCGGCGUUAAGUGCCUUCUUGGCAAACACAAGGUCGCGAGUUCGAUCCCUGGCACAAAACAAAAACAAAAACAAAACAAGGGUUUUCCAAAGUGUGUUCUAUAGCGCAAUGACCAUCUGGGAUUCUGUUUCAAAGGAAGUUCCAAAGUGAACCAACUUUGGGAAACACUGCAUAAUCUAUCACCUUCUUGGAUAUUUACAGUGAACAUUAAGAGAUUGAGGGCUCCAAGAAGGUCCCCCUGCCUAAUGGAGAAUCCUGCUUAUUAAUCUUUCUCCAUUUUUUUCCUUGUACUGGGGAUCGAACUCAUGACCUCAUGCUUGCCAGCUAAGACACUGCUGAACUAAGCCCCCAGGAUAUUAAGCCUUUUCUAAAGUAUAUUUGGCCACUCAACCCUUUGAUAGGGUGUCAUGCAAUGCCAUUAUUAGGGAAUACUGAACUACAGUGAACUCAAAGUCUUCCAGAGUAAGCAGAGUUCUUUAGAGACUCCAUCUGAGAUGGUGACUCUCAUUUGUGGCUUCCUUUACUUCUGGCUCACCAGGGGCUCUGAGUAUUCCCAGCAGCAGUAUGUGAGUCCUGAAGUCCACCUGUCUGGCAGUCACAUGGGAUCCUUCCUGCCAUCAGUGUGAGUCAUUUGGGUCCAGAUUGGUGCAUGAGUGACAGACAUGAGUCACAGGCAUACGGGAACCUUAUUCAUCCCUACCUUCCUUUGGUCCCUAAUCCUUUGUAAUGCCCUAGAUCCAUGAUGUCACUUUAGAAGAAUUAAACUUGGACAGCAAAGUGAUGUAAUUAGUUUAACUCAGUUUCAAUUAAAGUCUUCUGCUAGUGUAACAUCUGACCGUGUCAGUUUCACAGGGGAGAUGGCAGCAGGUGGCUGGGCACAUCCAGCUGGAGAGAUUUGCUCAAUGUCUUUCCUUUGGGUUUUAUUCCCAUCCCUGGUGUUGAACACUUGGGACUCUCCUGAAACAUACACUUUAUCAACAUCUCCUGGCUCAGCUAUUAGUGCAGGAGCAGGACGGCCAUUGCUGGUAGCAGGGCUACUCUGUAUAGGUCUCCACAGCCUGUCCAUUAAUCAAGUUGCCUGGUAAGGCCCCCAACUUAUCUGAGUUCCUUUCUCAUCUAUCAGAUGGGGAUCAGUUUAGCAUUUCUUCCUAGACGGUAGUAUGAGAAAGAUAAUAAAUAAUGUUCAAAAGCUGUCCAAUUACAUGGCAGGAGAGCGACAUUCUGAAGGGCUGGGCAUUUGGGCCCAACUUCAGAUUAGGUUGACAGAAGAGACAGAACCAUAUCCCAAGGGGAAGAGGCUGUGUGGGGCCCUGUGCUGGGAACCACAAAACCAGUGGUGAGCCGGUAAGAUCAGUGGGUUCAUCCUCCCGACAUGCCCGCUCCUUACCAUCAUUCACUUGUUAUGGAUGGUUGACCUCCUUUACCAAGAGCAGAUAGAUAGAUAGAGAGACAGACAGACAGACAGACAGAACUAGAGGCAAACAAUGAAAAGCAGAAAAAAAGACAAUGAUAAAGAUAACAGAGCAAGAACCAAAAUGGUAGGGUAACUAUCAGAAUUCUUAACUGAGGACUGGAGAAGCAAUUAGCAGUCACAACUGAACGCCACAUGAAAGGCUACUCUUCGGAGUCUUCCAGAAUGGGCAUUUGUGGCACUUUUGGCGCCUACCAUCUGAAGCCUCUUUUCCCCUGGAAAUUCUCUACUCCACGGGUCCUGCCUUUAUGGGAUCCCAAGUGGCUGAUGCCUCUAUUGGUCUCUCUUUGCCUCAGGAGAAGAAACACCCAGUAGGCACGUUAAGCCCAAACUGGGCUUGGGGUGGUGUAUGAGGAGCACCCUCCGGGAUGGGCCGUGGUCAGAUCAUAGUCAUGGGCACCAGUGGCAGUGACAAACAGGUGACAAUGCUGGCGGGGCUGGUGGCUGAAGCUGGGCUGCACUGGCUGUGCACUGUUUGCCUUAGAACCAAGGCAUCAAUCUAUCUAAUCAAUACACAUUAUGUUUCCCCUCCACCGUUUACUAUUCACUUGAAAAUAUGCAUGUCUGCAAUGAAAUUGAAAGAAUAGCACAAUGAAUAUCUAUAAGGUCUGAUCAAAUUAUACAGUGAAUAUUCAAAUUUAAAAAAUUAUUGUGAUAAGAGACACAUUGUCAUUGAUUCCCCUUAAAAGCUUCCCUUUCCCAAUGGAAACCAUUGCUCUUGCCAGCACAGUUCUGGGACUCCUCUUUCCUGAGCAUCUCUAUGGGUUGUGGCCAAUAAUACGAUGAACUUUGCUAUCCAAUGGAAAGGCAGGCUUGUAAAAAUGUUGCAGUGUGUCCUCAUUCACCUUGCUCACUGGAUGUGGUGCCACGCAACUUCUGGGUCUUCCUCAAUGUCAGAAUGACCAAGAAAGGUCAAUGUUUGGAAUCACUGUAGGACAUCAAGGUAGCUAUGACAGUGCAACUAAAGAGACUUACUAAAGACGACUCGCAGGACUGCUUCAGAAAGAUAACAGCCAUGAGUGUGUUUGAUGCAAGGAGGAGCAUUUUGAGAGUAAUCAAUGAUAUCUUUCACUGUGAUAAACUCUUGGUAUUUAGACAUUAACUGUACUUUUCAUCUCAUUUCAUAUAUACUUUUAUUGACACUGAAAAAUGUACUAACAUCUUUCUGUAUUUGUGCUUGCUUCUCCCUCCUCCAUAUUUGCUGACCCAUUUGAAAUUAAGUUGCCUGCAUCAUGAACUUUUCCCUUUUGUAGGAAAAACGACAGUCUCCAUCUCUAGAAUUCCAUUAUUACCUGAAGAAAAUGGACUAUUCCAUGUAAUCUAACAUCUAAUACUUAUUCAAAUUUCCACAGAUCAUCAAAAUGUUUUAUAUCUUUAAGUCUAGAAUAACCCCUCUUCUUCCCAGACAUUAUCUAUGUUUGAUGGGCUUUUAAAAUAUUUUCUAUUUUAGAAAAAUUUAAAUAAAUUUCUUUCUUCUAACGCAACUUGAGUCUCUCCCUGUCACUUGCAAUUCUAGGCUGGUACAUAGCUCUGCUUAUUGAAGGUAUACUUACUUCCACGAGCCCAGGAAGAUGGUCCUUCCUUCACCUUGAAGGGAAUACAGUGACAGUGACAUGGGGCUCUUCAGUGAGACUGCCUGGGUUGGAAUAGAACUCCAUCGCCAACCAGCUGGGUCAGGACAAGUUGCUUAGCCAUCAUGGGAUCCACUUCCUGCAUUAUGGAACUGGGUAAUAACGUUAGUCUCUGUGGCACAGAAUGGCUGCUGAGAGCAUCACUGAAGUCCAGAUACACCCUGGCUGUGGGGUAAGGGUUUGCUUCAGUAGAGCAAUCUCUUCCUGGUACCUUCUUCCAUUUCCUUGCUCCCUAGUUCACUUGUUCCCUUGGAAUGAGGUUGCAACAGAAAACAUGACUCCAUGAUCCACUUGCCAUGGGAGACCAUUGGAACCAGCUGUCUCCUCUGUAAAUGGAGCUUUAGAGCUUUUAUGAAGAAAGAAAAGCUAGUUCUGCCAAGGAAACUUAGAAAUCACUUGCCCAGCCUUUCAACAUAUCAGUGGCUUUCAUGCUCUUACAUCAGACAUUGUCCAUGUCACCUGUUUUCUGCACAGUGGCCGUGGGAGGUGGACAUGAUUAUCACCGUGCUAUAUAUGUGGAAACAGACUCGGAGGCAAAGUUCCUUCCUCAAGUUCACGCAAUCAAUAACGAGCAACCCUGCAGUUAAAAUUUCAAUCUGGCUGCAAACAAAAGCUCUUUCCAGUAAACCAGGCUGCCCUGGGAAUUGGUGGGUUCCAGCAUAUUUAGCUAGUUGCCUCCCAAAUCAUCUAUUAAGGAGCAUUAAUACAGAAGGGUCUUUUCUCCAUAGAUAGAGAAGCUGGAAUUCAACCAGCUGUUAUUGUGGCAACAUCUGUUUUCCUUUCAGAAAGUGUGUGUCUCAAGGAAACAUUUAAUUGGCUUCUUCAGCUUUAUCAUCUCAAAUCCUUCUGAAAGUCAUACUGAAUAGUAAUACUGUCUACCGCAUAUCUGGUCAGUCUUUUUCAAAUCUGUUAAAGUCAUCAGAAGUAAGGGGAGUCUAGGAGACUAGUAGUACCAAAGGAAGAAUGACCUCUAAAUGUGAUCAGGUUUUCUGAAUUAGAUUCAGGAGCAAGAAAAGGACUUUUAGGAGAAGGAAAAAAGCCUAUUAAGCAAUACUGUGGGAUCACUGCUGCCUGAUGAUCUGAGCAUCUCAAAUGCACACCUGGGCUUGCAUAGAGAUGUCUGAUUAAGAAGAGAAGUAGAGUUUUUACCCUUUGUGCAGCGAAAUCUGCAGACUAUUCAUGACACCUGAUUCAACAGGAAGCAGAAUGGCCCAGCUGUAGGACUCCUUAGAGAUCUUCUCUUCAUAUUCACUUGGCCUCCUGCUGUGGACCUGGACCUGCAGAUUUCAUCCUUGAAAAUGACUUUCUUUUUGACCUGGUAUUUUCUGCAAGGAAAAUGACAAACAAACAAAAAAUUCCUGCAACUAUUAUUGUUCCCUUCUUUUAAAAUGAUGUUUGAGUAAUUUGUAAGUUCAUACAUAAUAAGAUUGUUACAAGGUAGGAAGUUGUAAGUGACAGAGGAAUUCAGUCAAUCAAGGCCUUCUGUUUCAGUGUUUCAAGCUUUUUUUUUUUUUUUUGAGGCAGGGUCUUGCUGUAGAGCCCAAUCUGGCCUCAAACUAGCAAUGAUGCUCCUGCAUCAGCCUCUCGAGUACUGGGAUUAUAAAAUUGCACCACCACAUCUGGCUUCUUCUUUUUUAAAAAAUAAAACAAAAUCUAAAAAUCCUCAUAUUCUAUUUUACUGGAUAUGGAAGACAGAAAUUGAUAAUACUGAGCCUCCCUGAAUGAUUUGACACUAGAGAUUGGAGCCUUGUUUAUUGCCUCCCUCCCAUUUGUUAAGAGACAAAAUUACAAUGAAUUUAGUGCAAAGAUCUUAACUACAUUUUCUUCAUGACUCCAGGUUAAGUGGUCUUCAAAACCAGAACUGAUUCGAGGAACUCUCAUGUUCAAAAAGCGCUCACGGUCGGGAACCAGAAGUAAGGAGCCAAAGCUGGAGGGGGCCAGUGAUAUUCCUAACUCGAGGGGUCCUCAUCGCUGGGAAGCAGAGAGGAAAAAGCCUCGCUCUGACCCUGCUUUAACCCAAAGUCCCUGGGCUCUACACCCCUCCCCCGCGGCAGAGCGCAUUCACUGGCUGGGGAGACUUCACGUUUUUGUUUUCAAAGUCCAAGUCCUUUCACGUUUCCUCUCCAAAGCGAUGAAAAGGAAUCCGGCUGCCAGGACGCAUCACCAGGAAGAUGAAAGCGGCUUUCCAGAGGCUCAAUUCUUCCAGAAACAAUCUUCCUCUCCCCUCCCCAACUUCCAUUGCGCCCAAGUGUGUAUUGUUUUUAAAUGUCAAAGGAAAAGGAAAAGAAAGACGGAGAGAAAACCCUUUUUGCUUCUGAAUGUCACAUUCUGCUGAGGGGAGAAAAGCAAGAAAGAAUGAGAGGCAGAAUUAAAGAGAUGCAGAUUUUUUGUUUUGGCGGGGGCGCCUGGGGGAGGCCUCUCUUGCCCAGCUCUCUUCUUUCCCUGCCCGGGUCACAUUGAAAUGUCAAACACAGCAGUUUGCAGCUGAAAGCGUCCCCGGUGGGAAUCGGUUGCCCUUCUCACCUGCGGGCCAGUGUCGCUCGCGUCUCCCCAGCUGUUUCCCCAGCAGAUGUUGCUGGGGAUGAAGGAAGCCAGGGGUGUGAAAUGCUCUCCACCUGGGAGGGAGGAGGAGGCUCCCGGACACCCUGGGCCCCGCUUUCCCUCAAGGGCCUCCAACUCAGGUCUGCACAGAGAGAGGUCCUUCCCUGGGCCUUUUCAUUUUCCUCCGGGGAAAGGAAGGUGCUCCCGGUCCUCAGAGCCCGUGACUGGGCCUGGCGUCCUUCUCCCCCAAGCGAGGUUUCUGUGCGGCCAGCCUGGAGGUCAAAGGCAGCAGAACAAUCCCGCGCUUUAAAAAAGUGCAAAUGGAGCUCAAAGCGUUUUUACAGGAGCCUUGGUUGGUGCAGGAGUGGGGAAUGGGUGUUUUCUUAAAUUGCUGGAGGUGAGGCUGGAUUGGUCCAGCCUUACCUAAGGGCUUUUCAGCAAUAGGUAUCAACACCUUUAAAUAGAGUACAAAUGCUGGGCAAUUCCACUUCUGGGAAUUAUGUUUCCUAAGAACAUUACCAGGCCACAGUGUGAGGAGAUAUAACAGGUGUGCUUGCCCCAGAAUGCUCACAAUACAGCUAGCUUCAAAUCAUCCUAAUUUUUCUCUCAGUAGAGGAGUUUUAAAAAAUGAUAGCAUACCUCCUCCUGAUGGAAUAGUACAGAGUCACUGAAAAUGGUAACAUGGAUUUAUAUUUGCAGAUUUAUAUUUGCAGAUGUGGAAAGAUAUUCACAAACAUUAGGCAAACAGCAGGUUAUAAAAUACUAUGAAUAGUUCUUUCCUUCUUUUUCCUUUUCUGUUUUCCUUAUGUUUCAGUAGAAACAUGUAUGGAAGGGUAGGUACUUGGGCGUUCAUGUCUGGGUAGUAGAAUUAUGGAUGCUGUCUACUUACAAUGUUAGUGGUUUCUCACGUUUUGUCAUUCCUGUUUUAACUAGACAGAAAGCUCAACAGCUGCUAAUUUUUAAGUGCAUAAACUAACUUUUGACUUAA